AACGAACGCUGGCGGCAGGCCUAACACAUGCAAGUCGAACGCACCGCAAGGUGAGUGGCGCACGGGUGAGUAACACGUGGGAAUGUACCCUUUGGUUCGGAAUAACGUCUGGAAACGGACGCUAAUACCGGAUGAGCCCUGCGGGGGAAGGAUCAUCGCCAAAGGAGCAGACCGCGUCUGAUUAGCUAGUUGGUGGGGUAAAGGCCUACCAAGGCGACGAUCAGUAGCUGGUCUGAGAGGCUGAUCAGCCACACUGGGCCUGAGACACGGCCCAGCCUCCUACGGGGGGCAGCGGUGGGGAAUAUUGGGCAAUGGGCGAAAGCCUGAUCCAGCCAUGCCGCGUGCGUGAUGAAGGCCUUCGGGUUGUAAAGCUCUUUCGCACGCGACGAUGAUGACGGUAGCGUGAGAAGAAGCCCCGGCUAACUUCGUGCCAGCAGCCGCCGUAACAC
rnacentral:rRNA from 1 species